CCUUACGGGGGGGKGWGCAGUAGGGAAUCUUCCGCAAUGGGCGAAAGCCUGACGGAGCAAUGCCGCGUGAGUGAUGAAGGUUUUCGGAUCGUAAAGCUCUGUUGCCAGGGAAGAACGCUUGGGAGAGUAACUGCUCUCAAGGUGACGGUACCUGAGAAGAAAGCCCCGGCUAACUACGUGCCAGCAGCCGCGGUAAUACGUAGGGGGCAAGCGUUGUCCGGAAUUAUUGGGCGUAAAGCGCGCGCAGGCGGUCAUUUAAGUCUGGUGUUUAAUCCCGGGGCUCAACCCCGGAUCGCACUGGAAACUGGGUGACUUGAGUGCAGAAGAGGAGAGUGGAAUUCCACGUGUAGCGGUGAAAUGCGUAGAUAUGUGGAGGAACACCAGUGGCGAAGGCGACUCUCUGGGCUGUAACUGACGCUGAGGCGCGAAAGCGUGGGGAGCAAACAGGAUUAGAUACCCCCWG
rnacentral:rRNA from 1 species